UUAAAAAUUUAAAAUUUUGUAAUAUUUUUUGUUUUGGUUUUGAAAGCGAAGAAAAUCUAAUUGGUGCACAAUAAAAUGGUAGCUGCGGCUUCGAACCUAAAUCGACCAACACAUCUUUGUGGAGCUAAUAUCAAAACCUCAUUUGGUCGCAUAUUGGGUAAUUGAGAAUCGGGGAAGUGCCGGCCCUCAAGAUUUACGGAAUUUGAUCAAUAUCACAUCAAAUAGUGGAUUUAUAUCCUCUGAGAAGCUGAAACGCUAAAAUACUAAUUUGAUUGGAAAAUGAAAAACAAUGCAUCAAAAUUCGAACUGGUCGCGUGAGGAAUUUCUGGAUAUACCGUUGAAUAAGUAGCAAAAACAUGCAAAAUUUUGAGUGUCAGAGGGGAGAAGCGAGUGCUAUAUGAGGGAUAAACCUGAACGGGGACUGAUAUACCUCCUUUAAUAUUAAUCAUCGUAUUCGGUGAGGAAAUGUUUUAUGCCAACUUUAAUACCGAAACAUAAUGGAUUUCGAAACAAGCUUCAAUGUGACGUUCGUUAUCCCUCUAGAAAGGAUAUGAGCAACAAAGAAUAUUUUUCAAACACGCAAAACAAAAAAGAAAAUUCAAAAAUAAAGCAAAAACGUUGCUCGCGUAAUUCAUUCGAAACUUUUGAAAAGAACAAAAGUGGAAAAUGAAACAAGAAAACAGGGAUUGAAUGUUUAUUCUGCUGAUAACUUGAAUUUAUCACUAAUCGAUUGUACGGAACAAACUAAACAAUGGGAGUAUUUCUAUUUGAAAGGAAAUUACAAAUUCAAUGCGAAUGUAAAUUAUCUAUCUAUCAAUCUUACUCUUGCUGAUAGAAGAA